CUCUAACACUCUCUGCCUGCUUGACUUUGAAGAAGUUAACUUCUCUGAGCCUCGGUUUCCUGUUCGGGAAAAUGGAGACAAUAUGCGUAGUUCCUGUUUCACAAGUCUGUUAUGAGUAUUAGAUAACAUAUGUAAAGCUGCUUUGAAAAUUAUGCAACAUUAAGAAACAUAAGGAAUUUUCAUUCAUCUGUUCGUUGAAGGGAAAAGAGCUCAGUGCCGAGCGAGUGGAGGAAAUCUAACGCUCUCCUCCCACCCGGAACAGGCUUGGGAAGAGGUCUUGGGAUGUCUCUGCUGUACCGUCCACUGCCAGAGGUUUAAGUCCAGUACUUUGUUUGGGAUACAGAGUGUUAGAAGGGUCUCUAAAGGGCUCCACAGGCAUGGCCCCUGGACGACCAGUCCCUUCUCAUCCUCACGAAAGCGUACC
rnacentral:lncRNA from 1 species